UCGAGGAUCUUCGGCAAUGGGGGCAACCCUGACCGAGCGACGCCGCGUGGGCGAUGAAGGCCUUCGGGUUGUAAAGCCCUGUCGGGGGGGAGAAAGGCCGAAAGGCGUGAUCUAUCCCCGGAGGAAGCACGGGCUAAGUUCGUGCCAGCAGCCGCGGUAAGACGAACCGUGCGAACGUUGUUCGGAAUCACUGGGCUUAAAGGGCGCGUAGGCGGGCCUUCAAGUCCGGGGUGAAAUCCUCCCGCUUAACGGGAGAAGUGCCUCGGAGACUGAAGGCCUCGAGGGGGGUAGGGGCGUGCGGAACUAUGGGUGGAGCGGUGAAAUGCAUUGAUAUCCAUAGGAACUCCGGUGGCGAAGGCGGCACGCUGGACCCUUUCUGACGCUGAGGCGCGAAAGCCAGGGGAGCAAACGGGAUUAGAUACCCCCGUAGUCC
rnacentral:rRNA from 1 species